rnacentral:rRNA from 1 species
AUGAACGCUAGCUACAGGCUUAACACAUGCAAGUCGAGGGGCAGCAUGGUCUUAGCUUGCUAAGGCUGAUGGCGACCGGCGCACGGGUGAGUAACACGUAUCCAACCUGCCGUCUACUCUUGGCCAGCCUUCUGAAAGGAAGAUUAAUCCAGGAUGGGAUCAUGAGUUCACAUGUCCGCAUGAUUAAAGGUAUUUUCCGGUAGACGAUGGGGAUGCGUUCCAUUAGAUAGUAGGCGGGGUAACGGCCCACCUAGUCAACGAUGGAUAGGGGUUCUGAGAGGAAGGUCCCCCACAUUGGAACUGAGACACGGUCCAAACUCCUACGGGAGGCAGCAGUGAGGAAUAUUGGUCAAUGGGCGAUGGCCUGAACCAGCCAAGUAGCGUGAAGGAUGACUGCCCUAUGGGUUGUAAACUUCUUUUAUAAAGGAAUAAAGUCGGGUAUGCAUACCCGUUUGCAUGUACUUUAUGAAUAAGGAUCGGCUAACUCCGUGCCAGCAGCCGCGGUAAUACGGAGGAUCCGAGCGUUAUCCGGAUUUAUUGGGUUUAAAGGGAGCGUAGAUGGAUGUUUAAGUCAGUUGUGAAAGUUUGCGGCUCAACCGUAAAAUUGCAGUUGAUACUGGAUGUCUUGAGUGCAGUUGAGGCAGGCGGAAUUCGUGGUGUAGCGGUGAAAUGCUUAGAUAUCACGAAGAACUCCGAUUGCGAAGGCAGCCUGCUAAGCUGCAACUGACAUUGAGGCUCGAAAGUGUGGGUAUCAAACAGGAUUAGAUACCCUGGUAGUCCACACCGUAAACGAUGGAUACUAGGUGUAGGGGAUAUUAAGUCUUCUGUGCCGUCGCAAACGCAGUAAGUAUCCCACCUGGGGAGUACGGCCGCAAGGUUGAAACUCAAAGGAAUUGACGGGGGCCCGCACAAGCAGUGGAGUAUGUGGUUUAAUUCGACGCAACGCGAAGAACCUUACCAGGUCUUGACAUUGAUCGCGAUCUGCAGAAAUGCGGAGUUCUUCUUCGGAAGACGAGAAAACAGGUUGUGCACGGCUGUCGUCAGCUCGUGUCGUGAGAUGUUGGGUUAAGUCCCGCAACGAGCGCAACCCUUAUCUUUAGUAGCCAGCAGUAAGAUGGGCACUCUAGAGAGACUGCCGGGGAUAACCCGGAGGAAGGUGGGGAUGACGUCAAAUCAUCAUGCCCCUUAUGACCAGGGCUACACACGUACUACAAUGGAUGUAAACAGAGGGAAGCAAAAUAGCGAUAUGGAGCAAACCCCUAAAAGCAUUCUCAGUUCAGAUUGCAGGCUGCAACUCGCCUGCAUGAAGUCGGAAUUGCUAGUAAUCGCGGAUCAGCAUGCCGCGGUGAAUACGUUCCCGGGCCUUGUACACACCGCCCGUCACACCAUGAGAGUUGGAAAUACCCGAAGCCUGUGAGCUAACCUAUGAGGCAGCAGUCGAAGGUAGAGCCAAUGAUUGGGGUG